rnacentral:rRNA from 1 species
UGGGGAAUAUUGCACAAUGGGCGCAAGCCUGAUGCAGCCAUGCCGCGUGUAUGAAGAAGGCCUUCGGGUUGUAAAGUACUUUCAGCGGGGAGGAAGGUGUUGUGGUUAAUAACCACAGCAAUUGACGUUACCCGCAGAAGAAGCACCGGCUAACUCCGUGCCAGCAGCCGCGGUAAUACGGAGGGUGCAAGCGUUAAUCGGAAUUACUGGGCGUAAAGCGCACGCAGGCGGUCUGUCAAGUCGGAUGUGAAAUCCCUGGGCUCAACCUGGGAACUGCAUCCGAAACUGGCAGGCUUGAGUCUUGUAGAGGGGGGUAGAAUUCCAGGUGUAGCGGUGAAAUGCGUAGAGAUCUGGAGGAAUACCGGUGGCGAAGGCGGCCCCCUGGACAAAGACUGACGCUCAGGUGCGAAAGCGUGGGGAGCAAACA